rnacentral:tRNA from 1 species
GCAUUGGUGGCUCAGUGGUAGAGCUCCCGCCUGCCACGCUGGUGGCUCGGGUUCGUAUCCCGGCCAAUGCC